CCAGGGGGGCAUGAGCUCUGUCGGGACUCGGGGCCCCUCUUUUACCGAGCCGUCAUCUCCCUGUCGCUCGUCGUUCUCUUCUCCCUGGGAAUCAUCCUCAGCCUGCGGCCUUGGAACGGUGUCCCCGUGGAUCCCGCGGUGGGUGCUGGCUCCAAGCUGCCCCCAGCACAAGGGCAGGUGUCUCUGAUUUAGCCGCUCACGGGGCGCUGGUCACUGGCAGGAUUUUCCCAGCUCCAGGUUCAGAAGCUGUCAGACUUCGCUGGACUCUGAGCCGCCUUCCGGGGGCUCCUGCCGGGCCGGGGCUUCUCCGCUCUCCUCUGCUUCUGUCUGUGGGUCUGGCCUGUACAUCUUGGGUAUGAGAAGAACAGUAAAGAAAAUUAAAUAUUUCUCCAGAUUCAUUCCUCGUGGGACAAUAUUUUUUCAUUUACAAAUCUAAAGUACACGCUGUAACAGAGUCAGCCGCCAGAGAAAACCGAAUUCUAGAGAAAACCUACCUGGUUUAUACAGGAAAAAUCUAUCUGGAGCAGGCUUGAUUUGGUAGAAGGAAUUCGCUGAUUGAAAGAGAAACAUGUUGCAAGAAAUAAAUAUAUUUCUAUGUCUGGAAAUAAAAUCUAUCGCAAAAAUUC